rnacentral:rRNA from 1 species
UACGGAGGAUCCGAGCGUUAUCCGGAUUUAUUGGGUUUAAAGGGUGCGCAGGCGGGAGAUUAAGUCGGCGGUGAAAUUUUGCAGCUUAACUGUAACAGUGCCGUUGAUACUGGGGAGCUAGGAUUUGGUUGCUGUGGGUGGAAUGUGUGGUGUAGCGGUGAAAUGCUUAGAGAUCACACAGAAUAUCGAUUGCGAAGGCAGCUCACAAAGCCAAGAUUGACGCUGAGGCACGAAAGUGUGGGGAGUCAAACAGGAUUA